UGGGCCCCUAUUUAGGCGCUACGAGGCUCGGCCGGCGCGCGGUCUCCCCGGGUCUCAUCGGGAGCGACUCCCGACCAGGAGAAAGCAUGAAGCUGGAUCCCCGUCAGCCUCCCAUCCCAGCCAGCCUGCCUGUUGCUAUGGAUACGGACGGUACCACUUGCCUCCUCGGUUCCUCAGUUCCUUCCUGUCUACAAAGGACUGAUCUCAGCAUCUACUCCAGAAACCCUAGGAGCACCAUCCAGGCUGGAAACUGACUCACCGUGGGCUUGUAAUCUAUCUCGUCCAUCGACCUGAAGAAGUCCAGGCUCCUGGCCGCUGCCAGCUUCCCCUGGUCUGAGCUGUGUGUGCUCAGCGUGUCCAGGAUCUCGC